rnacentral:rRNA from 1 species
CGGGGACUUCGGUCCGCCGGCGAGUGGCGAACGGGUGAGUAAUAUAUCGGAACGUACCUUUCAGUGGGGGAUAACGUAGCGAAAGUUACGCUAAUACCGCAUAUUCUGUGAGCAGGAAAGCAGGGGAUCGCAAGACCUUGCGCUGAUUGAGCGGCCGAUAUCAGAUUAGCUAGUUGGUGAGGUAAAGGCUCACCAAGGCGACGAUCUGUAGCGGGUCUGAGAGGAUGAUCCGCCACACUGGAACUGAGACACGGUCCAGACUCCUACGGGAGGCAGCAGUGGGGAAUUUUGGACAAUGGGGGCAACCCUGAUCCAGCCAUGCCGCGUGAGUGAAGAAGGCCUUCGGGUUGUAAAGCUCUUUCGGCCGGGAAGAAAUCGCACGGGCUAAUACCCUGUGUGGAUGACGGUACCGGAAUAAGAAGCACCGGCUAACUACGUGCCAGCAGCCGCGGUAAUACGUAGGGUGCGAGCGUUAAUCGGAAUUACUGGGCGUAAAGCGUGCGCAGGCGGUUUAGUAAGACAGGCGUGAAAUCCCCGGGCUCAACCUGGGAACUGCGCUUGUGACUGCUAAGCUAGAGUACGGCAGAGGGGGGUGGAAUUCCACGUGUAGCAGUGAAAUGCGUAGAGAUGUGGAGGAACACCGAUGGCGAAGGCAGCCCCCUGGGCCGAUACUGACGCUCAUGCACGAAAGCGUGGGUAGCAAACAGGAUUAGAUACCCUGGUAGUCCACGCCCUAAACGAUGUCAACUAGGUGUUGGGUGGGUAAAACCAUUUAGUACCGGAGCUAACGCGUGAAGUUGACCGC